AUGAGCAGAGUUGAAGUGACAAGUGUACAGACGACAAAGAGGGACAGAUGGGGCAGAAGGACGGAGGCUCAUUCGGUCCUGGGUCCUGAGGAGGUAAGACUGGGCGGGGGUCCGACCUGGAGAGGGGGAGGGGGGGGUGGCAGCACAGGGCCGAGACGGCAGGUGCACAGGCGACAAACGGCAAGAGGGGUGAGGAGGCCGCGGGCAGCGAGAGGGACGGCUGUCCCCGGAGGGGAGGGUGGUGGCCGGGGAAGGAUACUGGGACGCGGCACGAGCGCCUGGGGCCGAGGCAGGCCGGGAGCCGGGCUCCGCAACCGGACGGCCUCUCCCCACCUCCACGCGGGGUCCGUUGGGCGCCCGACCUGCCGGCCUCCCCGCCCCCCGGCCUCCCGGCCCGCACCCACCUCAGGCGCUCGUCCCGCGGCUCCCGCCCCGCCCCGCCCCGGCUUGGCCUGGCUCGGAGCCCCUGUCCAGGCGGGGAGAGCAGGGGAGGGACGGGCGCCACGGCCCGGAGUGGGCCGAGGGGCUGCGCGGGCGGCGGGCGGCGGGCGGCGGGCGGCGGGCGCGCGCACAGCAGGACCCCGAGCGCGCCGCCCGCGCCGGGCUCUCUCCCGGCGGGGAAGACCGCGGUGCGGCCGCCCGGCUCCCACCCGCCGCAGCCCCGCCCCGGCCCCACCGGAUUGGCCCGCAGUGACGUCCCGUCCCGCCCCCGGCCGAGCCUCAUUGGACGUCGGGGAAGCGGCGGGGCCCUCCUGGGGGCGGGGCCGAGACCCUGCGGGAGUCCCCGAGGCUCCGGGCCGGAGAGCAGACCUGGCGUCUCAAGGCCUUCCCGGCCCUGACCUCUGCAGUCGCAGCUUUCUCAUCUACCAAACAGUGCUAAUACCCUUCACGGAGUGUUUGUCAGGAAAAUGGAUGAAAGCUUUAAGCCACACGAAAGCUGUCACCAUGGACAGCGCUGGCCGAGGGUUGAUCCGUCCAGCUGGGGAUAACUACCUGCCUGGCGCCUGUAGUUAUCCGGUUAAAACUGGAGCCAGUUUUUAA
rnacentral:lncRNA from 1 species